rnacentral:Y_RNA from 1 species
AACUGAUCUGGAGGUAGUGAGUUAUUUCAGUUGAUUGUUCAUAGUCAGUUACAGAUCAAACUCCUUGUUAUGUUCUUCUCCCCACUUCUCACUACUGUACUUGACUAAUCUAAA